AACGCUGGCGGCGCGCUUAACACAUGCGAGUCGAGCGAGAACCGGACCUUCGGGUCCGGGGAAAGCGGCGAACGGGUGAGUAACACGUGGGUAAUCUGCCCUCGGCACCGGGAUAGCCCGGGGAAACUCGGAUUAAUACCGGAUAGCCUCCGAAGCCUUCGGGCGUCGGAGAAAAGGUGGCUUCGGCAUCUGGCUGAGGAUGAGCCCGCGGCGGAUUAGCUUGUUGGUGGGGUAACGGCCUACCAAGGCGACGAUCCGUAGCUGGUCUGAGAGGACGACCAGCCACACUGGGACUGAGACACGGCCCAGACUCCUACGGGAGGCAGCAGUGGGGAAUCUUGCGCAAUGGGCGAAAGCCUGACGCAGCGACGCCGCGUGCGGGAAGAAGGCCUUCGGGUUGUAAACCGCUUUCAGGUGGGACGAAGCUCCUCGGGUGAAUAGCCCAGAGGGUGACGGUACCUCCAGAAGAAGCCCCGGUUAACUACGUGCCAGCCGCCGCCGUAA
rnacentral:rRNA from 1 species